ACACAAAAAUGCACAUGCUGUGAGCUCGAUGAGUAGGGCGGGACACGUGGUAUCCUGUCUGAAUAUGGGGGGACCAUCCUCCAAGGCUAAAUACUCCUGACUGACCGAUAGUGAACCAGUACCGUGAGGGAAAGGCGAAAAGAACCCCGGCGAGGGGAGUGAAAAAGAACCUGAAACCGUGUACGUACAAGCAGUGGGAGCACGCUUAGGCGUGUGACUGCGUACCUUUUGUAUAAUGGGUCAGCGACUUAUAUUCUGUAGCAAGGUUAACCGAAUAGGGGAGCCGAAGGGAAACCGAGUCUUAACUGGGCGUUAAGUUGCAGGGUAUAGACCCGAAACCCGGUGAUCUAGCCAUGGGCAGGUUGAAGGUUGGGUAACACUAACUGGAGGACCGAACCGACUAAUGUUGAAAAAUUAGCGGAUGACUUGUGGCUGGGGGUGAAAGGCCAAUCAAACCGGGAGAUAGCUGGUUCUCCCCGAAAGCUAUUUAGGUAGCGCCUCGUGAAUUCAUCUCCGGGGGUAGAGCACUGUUUCGGCAAGGGGGUCAUCCCGACUUACCAACCCGAUGCAAACUGCGAAUACCGGAGAAUGUUAUCACGGGAGACACACGGCGGGUGCUAACGUCCGUCGUGAAGAGGGAAACAACCCAGACCGCCAGCUAAGGUCCCAAAGUCAUGGUUAAGUGGGAAACGAUGUGGGAAGGCCCAGACAGCCAGGAUGUUGGCUUAGAAGCAGCCAUCAUUUAAAGAAAGCGUAAUAGCUCACUGGUC
rnacentral:rRNA from 1 species